UACGUAGGGUGCGAGCGUUAAUCGGAUUUACUGGGCGUAAAGCGUGCGCAGGCGGCCCGUUAAGACAGGUGUGAAAUCCCUGGGCUCAACCUAGGAAUUGCGCUUGUGACUGGCGGGCUCGAGUACGGUAGAGGGGGGUGGAAUUCCUGGUGUAGCAGUGAAAUGCGUAGAGAUCAGGAGGAACACCGAUGGCGAAGGCAGCCCCCUGGGCCUGUACUGACGCUCAUGCAUGAAAGCGUGGGGAGCAAAUAGG
rnacentral:rRNA from 1 species